UACGGAGGGGGCUAGCGUUGUUCGGAAUUACUGGGCGUAAAGCGCGCGUAGGCGGAUCUGCAAGUCGGGGGUGAAAUCCCGAGGCUCAACCUCGGAACUGCCUUCGAUACUGCGGGUCUCGAGUCCGGGAGAGGUGAGUGGGAAAUUCCUAGUGUAGAGGUAGAAAUUCGUUAGAUAUUAGGAAGAACACCAGUGGCGAAGGCG
rnacentral:rRNA from 1 species